GGACACCUGCCUGCUAUUUCCUGGGAUUCUCACCAAAGGGAGAACACAACUUGUUUGAACUCGACAGGCCAGAGACUGAGUGAAGGGGAAGAUGACUGAACACACAGCACCGUCUGUUUCUGUUGUACAGUAAACUCUGAUAUGUUGUCAUGUGUACAAGUUGACUGCAGUAAAGGGAGAGGGCCAGUCCUGGACUUUGAAAAGAGGGCAUAGCGCAGUUAAGACAAAACCACGUCCGUUAUUCAGAGAGGCGUUCUACUACGCUCCCAGCGCAGAGACAGUGACCUUCCAAGAACCUUAUAAAGAGGUCUUCCACCGACCGCCAAAACAUCUAUUCUAAGAACAAUGGAAACCUGACGUAUCCAUUACAACCGACGUUAUCAGGAGCCGCAGAUAGAGCUAGAGCUACAACCAUGAAAGACAUUGUGACUUCUGGGGAAGUAACCAGAGAUUCUCUGAUGAACUGACUCUCCAGCAGACGGACCGACAAUUCCAACAGAGAAGACAACAACGAUGUCACGACUCCUACCGAAGGUGGCUUCCCUUCGUGUUCGGGUGGCGCGGCGGUCGUCGUCACCGGCCUACUAGCUGCCUCUAACCUUUUCCCCCCUUGUCUGUUUAUUAGUUACACCUGUGUUUAGUUAGAUUGAUUGGUUGGACUUUAUUAUCCAGCCGGCCCACCUGCUGGGUGUGCAGGAUUGUUUGCAGUGUACUGUUGUGCACGACUGUAUGUCACGGUUGUCCGUGUAUGUGUUUUGCUCUACUGUUUAGUUCCCCGUGUUUUGGCGCAUUUGUUUGGGUUGGCGUCGUUUUCACCGGUGUGGUGUAAAGUAUGGCUACCCUGAACUUUCUGUUUCCUGCGCCUGACUCUUUCCUCCACUACACCCCGGGCAUUACAAACGACAUAUGGGCGUAAAUAUGUUGAUUGCAAUUAUUCCCGAAUGAGUGAAAGUUCAUGUGCAAAGGAUUAGCAUUUCAAUGAAUAUAAUUAUCCACUGUGUGUAGUGAUCAAUUUAGCCUUUGCCGCUCCUUUAUCAGUCCACACCCCCUUUUCUUUGUAUACCAAGCAGUCAUAUCGGUUUAGUCCACUUGGUGAUCUUCCCUAUCAUUGUUAGUAACCAAUAUCUACUGUUUGUUUGGUAUGCAUUUCUUUGAUUAUUUAGUUAGUUAGUAAAUACAUGAUUAAGCCAAUUGGUGUAUGGAUGAUUCAUAGUUUAGGCUGGGUUUGGUCAGAUAAUUAAGAAUUUACGACAUUUGGAAAGAAUAAUUCAUUAAUAGAAGACUAAUUUAGUUAUAUUUGGAAAAUUAUAACUUUGUAAUCUGAAGAUUUUCCGUGAUGCCCCAACUUCCUAGUUAAUUCAAUUGACAUGAUUAGUUUAAUCACGUAAUAAUUAGAGAAUUGAUUUGAUAAAAUAACAGUCUGCACAUUUAAUGAUAGCCAGAGACACGACACCAGUAGGCCAAGUAAAUGUACCGUUAAUCCUGUGUCAUUUACAUUCAUUUCUGUUAAUGCAUGUAUUAACCAUAGUCAAUUACCGUUCUCAUUAUGUUGUUUACGGUGUUGAGUUCACAACUAUUGAAUUUUUUGGGGUUAAUUUCAUAACAAUUACAAGUUUUGUAAAAUAUUUGUUCAUUGCCUUUUGUUUGGAGUGCAAUGAGCAUGUUCUCUGUCCUGAUACAGUCGAGGGAGCGUGCGCCUGAGCACGCACAGAAGUCAACAGUUUACAGUGGCUUCCUCUCUCCUCGUUUUCUAGCCCUCAUCUGCUCUUAGAAAAGAUAACAGGAUUGUAUUGUAGGGGUGCCAUGUGGCUCAGUUGGCAGAGCAUGGUGCUUGCAACACAAGGGUUGUGGGUUUGAUACCCAUGUGGGACCAGUACAAAAAAAGUAAGAAGAAUGCCAUAAAAUGGACCAAACAUUUUAAUGUAAAAAAAUAAUGUAUUCACUAAGUGUAUUCAUUCAAUUUGUCCAAUGAGAAACACUGUUUUACAGUUUUUAUAACUGUUACUGGUACCCACAGAUAUC